UGUAAACAAAUAUUCCAGGAUAAGUUUUUGUCAAUGUAUUGUGUUUUGUCGUAUCUCGUCAUGUGUUUUCGGGAGUUCCUCUAUUCUUGUAUUUGCUCUUUUCUCUCUUGAUUUUGCUUUGCUUCUCUACAUGUCCGUAGACUCUUCGCGUUGAGUGGUGGUGGUAUGUUUGUGUGUAACAACGGUACUUUUACUGCAAGGUUGGAGGGGCGGGCGUCGAGUGUGUUGUUUAUCAGCUGUGAUCUGUGCGUGUGAAACUUUUUAGUUGUGCUGAAACGGGUGAGUAAGAGUAAGAUUAGAAACAGAAUGCCGUGUGCAUGUAUACCACAGCCUGAAGACUGAACCACCAGACUUGCUCAGAGCAGGAAUGAAGUACACGUAAUAUAAAUUGGAGCGUGGUACGCUUGCGCGUAGCAGAUCAUGGUGUGGUUAAGAAGAAAAAUGAAGCAGUGCUACAGUCAUACUAGACGCUGGAAUGGCUAGUAUUGGUUGAAGUUUUCUUAUUUUUCAGAUUCAAAAAUCUGUUUGCUCUACAAAGUCGAUGAGCGCAUCUAAUCAGGUAAAUAUAAUUAUAUGCUUUUAUCCCAGAUAUCUGGCUUAUAGUUUUUUGCCUUUUAGUUCUGCAGCGCCAUGGUGAACGUUGGGAGGUGUUGGCACGGAAGACGGAGCGGGAAAAGGAUCACGAUAACUAUGUGGUGAGGAGGAUAUCAACGGAUUGUGCAUUUACAGUUAGCGGGUGAGCUGUACCUCGUAGGAGAACCUGGCCAUGGGUAUCGGAGAAUGCAUAUCGUAUGCUGGGAUCGUGCGCGGCCUUGAGCACUGACUUUGCUCGAUCACGGGUUCCAAAUUGGUCAUUACGUUACCGGCGGCUUGCCAGCAAUCAGCAUUGGGUGUUCUUUUUCCGUUCAGUUCUUCCUACCGUCCUUCUGUGUAUAAAUUGCCUUCCAUUAACAUCUCCCGACAACAAGUUGGAGUUGCUUCUAGCACGGAUUAUGAUGGUGCUGUUGCUGAAGAGGAAUGUUUUGUUGCCUGGUUGCACUGGACAAGAUGGUUCACACAGUGUAGUCGAUCUCCUGUUGGUGUCGAUUGUAUACCGUUUCAGAGGUUUAAAGAGGAGUGAGGAGCUUCCUUACUACAAAGUUCUUUAUAUAAGGUGAAAAAGUGUACAAGGGCCAACCAUUUGGUGUUUGUACUCGAUGAUCCCUUCGAGCCGGAGGCCCAUCCCGGCCGCUCAGUGCGAUAGUGUUAGGUGCUAGGAAUACAAGAUGUAAAUAUAAAAUGGUUACUUUACAUGUUAAUACAGAAGAGGUAUUAUAAAGGUUAUAGAA